rnacentral:piRNA from 1 species
UCAGAAACUGUUGGAUUUUCA